CGUGCCAUGGAGGCAGCCGGCAGGAGAGGAAGGGAGGGCUGGCCGGCGACUGCCUGACUGCCCUUGUCUCUCCUGGGGAGGCCUGAACUGGCCUGGUCUGGGUGCAACCCCCCUGCCCAAGGCUUGGCCUCCCAACCCGGCAGAGCCGCCUCCCAGCCUGCCCCUGGGGAGGGGCCACCUGGUGUCAAUUAAACCCCAGUCGCACUCGGCCUGCACCACGCCAGGCGGCUGAUUAGUGCCGCUGGCCUCUCCAGAUGGGGAGCACUGUCUGAGAGGGGGCGACCACCACCAUGCCAGGGUGAGGCCUUGCCGGAGCUGGAAAAUGGGGGACAUUGAAGACAUCACCCUAGAGAAGAACUCCCCCGGCUCCUUCCAGGAAAUGUGCCUCUCUCAUGGCCAGGGGUUGGAGGGUAUCCGAGCCUGUGCCACGCGGAGGCUUCUCAGUCUCAUCCGGGCAGAUGGCAUCCCCGGGGUCCGUCAUUCAUUAUCACAACAGCGGAACCUUGCCACUUUCUACUCUAAUGCCCCUGUAAUCAGCCAAGAAACCUUGCAAUUUGAUAUUUGGAAACAAUUAGCCCAGUUCACGGCCUCUGCAGCAUCUCUUAAUGCGGACGUGGCCAUAAAUUACAGGGAAGCAGGAACUGACACAAGAGGAUGAGGUCACAGCAGCCACAAACCUUUGGCUCAGAGG